UUGGGUGAGGAGGUCCAGUCAAUGUAAGCUUCUCUUAUUCUUGUAUUACUCCUCUUUCCCAGGAAGAUAUUUCUCUGAGACUUUCCAGAAGAGAGGAGACCUGAAAUCCUCGGAAUCUUCCUAUUUGGUUAACGAGAUCAUCGAGGAAGGAAGCUAUGGCCAGGUGGCCCGGUGUUAAAACGGCCACCAAUCAAAAGAUCGCCAGGUUAAUGUGCCUCACAGUUCUGGACCCAGAUGGGGGUGGGAUCGUGAGAUGGAUGGAUGUCUUCCAACAUGGUCCAAAAAUCUGUCUGGAGUUUGAGCUCCUGGAUAAAAGUCUCAGCAGAAAGAGCUCCACAUUCUGCCUUUGAAUCAAAUCAAGAUCAUCCUGGAACAGGUGUGGUUGGACUUCAACCUCAACAAUAUUUACCAUUAUAUUUGACAAUUUACGGUUCUCAAAACAGAAGCAGGAAGCAGUGCAGGGGCAGGGAUGUUGGAUGUGCUGUUCUCCAGCGCAUCCAGCACUGAGCAUCCACCAACACUGCAACCAAUCCGCCGCCGGGUUCUCUUACUCAUGAAUAGACAAUGAAGAUAUUUCUAGGCCUGAUUCAGAUCAAGUUCAGAACGACACGGGCUGGUCAGCCGUUGGCCAUCGUCUUUGUGUUCAAGUACAACUUAUUAGCCCGCACACAGGCGACGAUACAGAGGAUCAUCGUGGGCGAUGGUUCAAAUUCUGUUGUCAGGCACAGCCGUUGAAACAGAUUGAAUGAUUGAACACUGUAAACAUUUAUUUGUUGGCACCUGAUCUUUUAUUCUCAUAGAAAAAAACAAACUAUUUUUACAGACAGAAAAAAUUACAAAAAGCUGCAAGAAACGGAUUCCUUUGGAACCAUUUUGUUUAAACAAAGAUGCUAUCUUUGUUUGACAAGGCAACCGCUAAACAAACUGGAAUGAGGAGGAUCAGGAUGUUUGGAGGUUUUAACACCAGUGACGCAGACUGGCUACACAGUGACUGGCCGCCACAUCAUC